ACUGAGAUGUUUUAAGAUUGUAAUGUGAUUGAAGCUUUUCAACACAUCGACUCACAUAAAACCAAAAUAAUACCUUCAUUAUCAAACUGGUUAUCAUGCCUUACAUAAUGGAGUUAGUAUUUGUGAGUAGAAAGACUUUAGGUAAUGGAAAUAUAAAUAAGAAUGUUUAACAUAAUAUGCUAAAAAUAUUUUCAUAUUUAAAUAACAUGCAUAAAAGGUGUGCUUUCUUUUCUUUCUUUUUUUUUUUUAGUUAUUAUCUUGCCCUUUAAGAAGCUGAAAUUCUUGCCAUCGAACUUACCAAUCAUUUUAGUGUUCUAAAUGGCAUCUUUGUGCAAAGGACUCAGUUCACUCAUUAAUGCUAACAUUCUCAUUGAGUGCCUGCUGGGUGCAAGAGACUGAAGUUAUACCUAAGUUACUUGUGGACCAAGAUACCAGUGAAAUACUUUUCCCUGAAAUGUUAGGAAACACUUUGAAAUACUUAAGUGCAAAUUGUGUGUGUGUGAAACUUAGUUAUAGCUUCAUCAAUAGAUGAGGUUUUAAAGCACUUUGUAGUUCUCUAUUGCCAACAAUUUUGUUUAGACGUUGCCAAUUCUUGCAACUAUUGCCCUAAGAGAUCUGUGGGUUGCAAUCCGAACUAAAAUUCAGAAGUGUGUUUGAGCGAGGAAGGUUGCUAAGACCCCUACUGCCCCUUUCCUGUUCAGUUGCGACUUUUAAAGGCACUUUCCUAUCACACUGUAGAUGUCUGCAUUCUCAUUAGAAAUGUCUGUUUAGCUUUAGAAAACAUUUUGCCAGAAUAUGAAAAUAAGCCUUACUGACAUUAAGUGCUUCUUGCAGCAGGUGGUCAAGGAAGAGUGACUAAUAGACCCACUAAGAGUGGCCUACAUCUGGAUCGUCCUGGAGCUUCUCUCACCGACAGUACCAUCAUGUGUUGAGUGUUCUUUUCUCCCAAGUGCUAUUCUUUAAACAAGAGUUUACCGGUUGCCUAAUACGCAAUAAACGUUGCUUUGACACAGCUAACUGCACACAGUACAAACUGGUGAAAGGCAGACUCAGAUUCCCUCUAAAAUAACCUUUUCCCCCGUGUUCCCAUCUGACGCAGUCUUACACACAGCUAGCUAGUCGUCCCUCCUCAGCAUUCACACUGUGAAGACAAUUCUGUUAAACAGAUGGGUAAGCUUCUGCAUCAAUCCCUCAUGAUGAGGGAUUUAACAAUAUUUAUAAAGAUGCUGCCCACUAAAAAUGUCCUCAGCUCUGAAAAGUGGUCUCGGUCUUGACUCUACAGUGUUAGCUCUCAUGGUGUUAAAUGGAUGAUCCAGAAUUCAGAAUAGAAGUUGGUGCAAAAGAAGGCCCUACUUGCUCCACAUCUACCUACAGUUGACCAAAAAAGUUAGGCCAGCAAUUAAUAGUUAGCUUUGCUCUUUCUAGUGUGAGAAACUGCGGGCUGGAUCAGUAGUUCAGCAGCUACACAGGCAUAAAAACAGUCAUUGUGCAUGUUAAAAACCUUUCAGUGAUAAAACCCAGUUUCUACUUCUUCAUUGUGACAGUAUUACUAAACAGGUGAGGAAGGGAUAUUUUGUUACACCGUGUAUAGUGAAUGUAUUGUACCGUGUCUGUGAAAACCGUGCUUUAAAUUAUAUUUUCAUAUGUUUUGUUGGGGACAGAGCACAUUAAGUUUGAAAGCAACAGAACUAUCAGAAUUGAAGGCAAUUUACUCAAACUUUCUGUCAAGAAAAGCUGCUUAAUAAAUGUACAUGAAAUCACAUUUAAAAUAAACUGCCUCUGACCCAAAAUAAAUAUGGCUCUUUAUUUUAAUUAGCUCCGCUAUAAGAACCGACAUCAAGUUUACUGUGGGAACUAAAACAUCUGUCCAGGGCCUGUUCUAUUACGCUCCUAGUUAUUUUGCAGAAUCUAGGUGAUAUGUAAAGGUUUUGUUCCCUUAUGUUUUGCUUACUUUUCUGUAAGUAACACUUUAUGAUAAGCUUGGGACUAAAACUCUACAUAAACUAUCCAGUUAAACAGCCAACAAGAUGAGCAGCCUCGUUUCACUGACAGUAAUAUUCAAAGACUACUUUCAGGUUAGCAUGGGUCAUACUUCCUAACUGCAGGAGAAAUGUCCACAGUAUGUGCACACGUGUGGAGGCCAGAUGUCAACAUCAGGUGUCAUCCUGAGUCAUGUCUCCACCUUGGGACAGGGUCUCUUACUGAACCUGAAGAUGAGCUGUGUAGACUGGCUGACCAGCACAUGCGAGGACAUCCUGUUGCUGCCCCCCAGCAACACGUCUGCUUUCUCACACCAGUGCUGGGAUCAGAACUCAGCACAGCCAGCACUUUCCAAACUAAGCAUCACCAUGGCCUCCAAGGUCUCAUGUGGGGCACACGUUGCCCAAGGAUAUUCUAUGGAGGACUCGCCAGGAUGCUGAAGGUGUAUCCACCGCUGGCCCUGCCUCUAAGGACUGCCUGACGCCUGGCAGUCCGAAUGUCUCCUGCUGGUUCACUCUAGAAUCUACGGCAAUCUGAAUCUACAGCCUAGAUUUAAAUACCCUUUCAAAUAAAAUAAAUGC
rnacentral:lncRNA from 1 species